ensembl:lncRNA
UUUUUUUCCCAUCUUGCAGUUCAUUCAUAUCAGUUUAUAUCUUAAAUAUUUAUAUUUAAAAUUCUGUCCCCUCCCCCCCCUUUUUAUUCUUUUUAUUUAUUUAUUUUUAGCUGAAAAGACAUGAAGGAAGCAGUCAGCCCAGUCGUGUUUGUGGAGAGGUAUUCCUUCAGAAAUGGAGAAGAUAGAAAGCUGCGGAGGCAGACAUUUGCAGCAGUCUACAACAUCGAGCUCAACAGAUCUUUUUAAGAGCCAACCCUCACAAACCUUGCUCUCAGCGAAUCUUGCCAUGAUCAGCCCUUUUCCAGAAGAGAAGAUCAAGGAAAUUAUUUGUUCAGGAUGAGGAAUGAAGACGGCCAUCUUGUGCCCAAACGAAGACAGAAAGCUGUCCACUGAUGAUCUCAUCAGCCAAAUGAGGGGUUUUUGACCAAGUGAUGGUCUUGAAAGGAAUGAAAGAAGAGGAUGUGGUAAAUUGUCUUCAAAGAAAAAGCUUCUCAAAAGGUCUUAAAACAGCUUGAAGAAUGGUAUGUGUCCAGUACUUCAAGGGUCAUAGUUGUUCACCCUGCUAAAAUCACACAGAACAUUAAACUGUCUGACUGUCCAUUAAACAACUUCAUCUGAAUUGUUUGUGUUUUUUGUUUUACUUUGACCAGGUCUGGGAACUGUCUGAAAAUGGGAUGUUAGGAAUGAGAGAUCCUCUGGCUGAGAAAAAGCUACACCAGAUCAGUGCUGGAUAUCAACCACAAACUGUUUCCAGACACGAGAGAAGAAGAUCAUGAUGGGGAAAUGAAACCAGUUUAGAUGUGAUGAUAAGGAAUCAUUAUUUUCUGAAACAGUAUCACAUGUCUUAUAUGUAUCACAUGAUCUGUAUCACAGUUGCCUGGAUGGGAUUGUGUGACUU